GCCAAUGUGGUGUAGUGGUUUGAGGGUUGGACUAUGACUCUGGAGGUUAGAGUUCGAUUCCCUGCUUGGCCA